AGCAGUCGCCGCGGGAAUACGUAGGUGGCAAGCGUUGUCCGGAAUUAUUGGGCGUAAAGGGCUCGCAGGCGGUUCCUUAAGUCUGAUGUGAAAGCCCCCGGCUCAACCGGGGAGGGUCAUUGGAAACUGGGAAACUUGAGUGCAGAAGAGGAGAGUGGAAUUCCACGUGUAGCGGUGAAAUGCGUAGAGAUGUGGAGGAACACCAGUGGCGAAGGCGACUCUCUGGUCUGUAACUGACGCUGAGGAGCGAAAGCGUGGGGAGCGAACAGGAUUAGAUACCCGCGUAGUCCCUGUCUCUUAUAC
rnacentral:rRNA from 1 species